rnacentral:lncRNA from 1 species
CCUUUCGGUCGGGCCAUCCGCCGCCGCUAGCGUGACGGGCACUCCUCCCUCGAUCCCGCACUGAAGAGCUCAGAGCUUGGGGGCGCCGCCGCCUCCUCGUCGUCGGUCCUCGCGCCGGCCCCCCAACGGCCAGGUGCUUGCGGCGUCGGGCCGCAUCGACGACGAUUCACGGCGUGGGCGGUGGUCGCCUGAUCGCAUUGCGCCAUCACGGUCAGUCAUCGCAGUAACCUCCAUUGGCUCGUCCGCGCGGCGUACCCGACUCAUCCUGCUGCCCAAUAGUGAACGUGUUGCCCGUGAUCCUCAUCCUUGCUCGCACAUACUCCCUCCAUACCCAUACCAUAUUAGUUGACGUUUAAAACAUAACUAGUAUAAUACCCGUGCUAACGCUACGGUUUUAUCUAGAGAUGCAUAUGAAAAGAACCAAUAAUUUUAUUCCAUAGUUUAACUUUUAUACAAUUAUAUUUGAGCAUGUAUAUAAUCUGCGAAACACUUUUACAUAAAAAUACAUAGUAAAGUUAUUUCUCGUAUUAACCAUCUAACAUAGAAUAUUCAUAAAAUUUGGAGAAAUGCAAAUUAAGCAACCAAAAUAUUCAUAUCACCACUAGGAUACAAUUUGUAAAUAACAAAGGAACAAUCGAAUUUAUUAAGAUUCACGUCUCAUAUAUUGUAUAACCAAAUAUUUUGUCACAUAAUAAAUUUAACAUAUCGACUUUGAGGCAUGCUCAAGUAACUACGAGGCCAAGAACUGAUUCACAAAAUGAGACAUUUUUAAGGAAGUUUUACGGCAUCAUGAUAACUAAAUCAACAAGUUACAAAACAUCCAUGUUUACAAUUCAGAAUGUGUAGAACUACAACAGCAUGCACAACUAAGUAAUAGCUUUCAGUUUGCAAAAAGGGAGAUAAGCAUUCACUCAUCAUAACCUCACAAGGUAGCUAUGAAUUAAUAACAACGUUUUCAAAUAUUUUCAGUUAGUGAUAUUGAACUCCAAACAGAGAACAAAGCUCUUGGCGACCUUCUUUUGCUACCCUUGAUUUCCUUCUUGCCAAUUCAUAUUUCAAUAUUCCUAUAAAGGUAAUAAUUUGUGAGUUUUCAGUUUGUGAACCAUGCAUGGAAACAACCAUGAAAGUACCAGCUAUGCAUCAUGUCAUACAGUUCAGUGGCAAAAAUCCAAGGCCAUAGUCACAAGCUCAAGGAACUCCCCUUCAGAAUUGCAUUGAAGCACUUGCUCAAGGGAAGAGGUCAUCGAGGACUCUUCUUCUAUAACUUCCCUGAACCAUGCCUGUCCAAUUUGAUAAACUGAAGUUUCAGUCCUCUAAACCAUGCCUGUCCAAUAUAAAAUGUCAAAUUUAAACAUAGUUCCAUGGUUGUUUCAAGCUCACAGAUGUUCUACCUUAGUCAGGCUAGCCUAGCAACUGCUCUGCUUAAUGCCUGCAAGAAUAACACUACAUGACAGCCAUCCACGUUAGACAAAAGAAACAUGUUUGUCCAAAAAUGAUCAUGGAAAUAUCUUACCUUACAUGUCACACUUGCAAAUGGCAUCUACAGCUAGACCUCCAGCAGACUCUGCUAUAUCAGUAUGUUGUGGCAUAGAGAUAUGGAAAAGUUAUAGACUCUGCAAAUGGCAUCUCAGUUAGUUGUUCUGCUAUAUCAGCACACUUGCAAACUAAUUGAAAAGUUAUAGAAUCAACAUUUGUAUGGAAAUAGGGGGUUAGUGGAUAGAGAUGAAGCAAACAGGUAGAAUACAAAAUCAAUGUGAACUUGGUAAUCCUAGAUAACCAUAUACAAAAGUAAACUUCUCAAUAUUGCUUUCUAGCUUAUUCAAUAUCAGCUGAACCAAAAGCUGAUGAGUUCUUGCCGGUUGCUGCCAAAAAAAACCAUGAUAAACAUACCAAUGGAUAACCUUUCCCCCUGAACCAAUCAACAUUAUAGGCUUGACAUAGUCAUAAUGCUCCUAAAAAAUACCAUAACAAAAUAUGUGGUUUUAGUUAAUUAUUAUAGGUUUCAUGAGUUGCUCUUGUUAUUCCAGACAUUAUGGACUUAUGAGGCAUCAGUGUUACAGGCUUGAUAACUUGCCAAUAGCAAAUUAUAUUAUAAAUAAACGGAAAGACAUACCUAGCGUCAAUUAUUUCAAGAAACAAAACAACUAUAAGAAGGUUUCAAAUUUCUUCAGUUUGAUUGAAAGAAAAACGGCUAAUUACUUACAGAUAACUUGCCCGUUAUGUUUUUUGCUAGUUCCCUGCAAGCUUGGAACUUGGGUAAUCAAUAAUUAUGAAGCAUGAUAUCAACUACCAAAAAAUAAACAAAUAAACUGAGAAAGAGAAGAGACCCUAAACCAUGAACCAGACAAAAAAAAGGCCCAAGUACGACAGGCUGCAACACAUGGAUCACAGGAAGGACUGAGACAAGCUAUCAAGGCACUCUAACUGAGACAAACCUUUGUGCAUCUUGCUUCUAUGUGAAAGAUAAAAAAAGCAAAGCCUUUUGAUAUCUUGUUAAUCAUUUUAAGUCCUGCAUGCCCACAAUCUAGCCAAAACAUUCCAUCAGGGUCAUAUAUACCUUAGCAUCUCUAUGAGCAUAUCAAAACCACCACCUGCAUUAAAUAAAAUACAAAAAAGAAAACAUCACUUAAUCAAGUAAGUGGUAAGACCAAGCAAAUCAGCUCUUGCAUGACCAAGCAAAUCAGCUCUUGCAUGACCCAGCUAGGAGUAUUGAUAAUUAGUGGCAACAUUUCAUUCUGAUUACAUCGACAUUUUCCAACCAAAUAUUCAGUACAAAUGGAAUAGGAAAUUUGGAUAUUCUUCUGCAUCUCUUUAUGAAGAAAUGUCACCAGAUCAAAUUUGUAAAUGGCAUUAGUGAAACCCAAGAUAACAUAAGUGAGGAAUAUUAAACAAAACGUUUCUUGUGGCAAAACCUUAAAAGUUAUAUUGUCGUGCUAACAAACGACUACAACUGUUCCAGUAAAUAGAUAAAGAAAUCCCACAAUAGAAAUUGUGCACAAAUCCUGAAGUGAAGAAUCAAAUUAAAUUAGCACACAAUGCUACACUACCAACUAAUCACAAGUCUUGAGGAGAAAUUUUACAUCUUUCAGCUUCCCAUAGAACUGGGUUUAGCAAAUCAGCCGAAGCCAAAAAUCAUCUUGUACGUAACGACACCUGUGAGCUGUGGCACAAGUAUUAGCACUUAGAUUUCAAAAAAAAAGAAAACUAAUACUUUUUGUACGCAUCUUAAUUCCUGAGACAAUCAAAUAUUCACGGAAUAAGAAAUCAUACCCUGGUGGCCGGCAGCCUUGGCGACCUAGUGGCCGUCGUCAUGGAAGCUGCAGCCGCCACAUCCCAAACCCGCGUCGGCCGCCGCAUCUCAAGCCCUCCUAUGGCUGCCUUUUAGGCCCACGCCAUUGCAUCCAUGGCCUGAGGGGCGGUGUCGAUGGAGAUCCGGCCAGCAGCCCUGGUGGCGUGCGUCUCUGGCCGGUGCGCGACACUGUCGGCGUGUGUUGUUGGCGGCGUGCAGCCCUGGCAUCAUGAUGGUGUGGGGGCCUUUUACAUAUUUACCAUCAUAACGGUUGCCUCUCAUUCGAUUAUCACUCUUAUAAUGUGCCAUACAUAUUUACCAUCUUUAAGCGAUAACUCUUACAUUUAGACCACAUUUGCACAUGUGGCAGCCCAGACCGACUGACAUGGUAGUGCUGACUCAGCAUGGGCAGACGAAAUGACGAUGCUGCCCCUGGCCUUAUUUUCUUGUAAACACAACAGCAUGAAAACCCCUCUAUUGAUAAAAAAACACAGCAACAUAAAAAAACACAGCAGAUCCUUGUGUUAUGUUGCUGUCUGUGUGCAAAUGAAAUAUGUUGUUGUGUUUUUUUAUCAAUAGAGGGGUUUUUAUGCUGCUGUGUUUAGAAGAAAAUGAGGCCAGGGGUAGCAUCGUCAUUUUUCCUGCCCAUGCUGAGUCAGCACCACCAUGUCAGUCGGUCUGGGCUGCCACAUGUGCAAAUGUGGUCUAAAUGUAAGAGUUAUCGCUUAAAGAUGGUAAAUAUGUAUGGCAUAUUAUAAGAGUGAUAAUCGGGUGAGAGGCAACCGUUAUGAUGGUAAAUAUGUAAAAGACUCUGGUGUGGGGGAGGGAGGGCGUCGGGGAGAUGGGGUGUGGCCUCAGGGAGAUGGAGAGUCGGCGUCUGGGAGAGGGAGAGUUGUGCCUCGCACGUUGGGGUGUGAGCGGGGUCCGGCAGUAUAACACUCCAAAUUUUUGAAUUUCAAAUUUAGUUUAAAUUUGAUUUAAUUUUGGCUUAGUUUGAAUUUUUGGAGAAUUAUUAAAUAAUUUACAAAAUUAAUUAAAAUAAAUAUAAGGUAGAAAACGUGUUUGAUUUUUGCAUUCAUGCUGCUGCAUAAUUUUUCUUGAUUUUAUUUAUUUUGCUGAUGCUUGUUUUGUUUUGUUUUGGAGCAAGAAAAUUAAAAAAAAAGGAAAAGGGGAGAGCUCUCACCUGGGCCGAUUCUCGGCCCAGCCCCCGCGCGCGCCCCCCCCUUCUCCCCGCACGGCCCAGCAGCGGCCCAGCCGCAGAGCCCGCGGCGCCCCCUGCCCCUGCCCCCGCCUGCAGCCGCUGACGCGUGGGCCCCGCAGGUGGGACCCACCGUCGUCCCCAACCUCCCGUCCGAAACGGACGGGGAGUCCGCGCCGCCACCCGGCUUCCGAGCCGCACGCGCCCCAAGGAUCGCCGUGCCUUUAAAUAGCCCCCCAGCCGCCGCUCGCGAACCCCCUAGAACCCUAGCUUCGAAAUCCGCGCCGCCACCGUUCUCGCCAAGCUCGCGCCGCCGCCGUCGAAACCGCCGCCGUCGAGCUUCUCUUUGACUUCGUCGUUUCGCGGAGGUGAGCUCGCCAUCGCGCUCGUCGUGUCGCGCCGACCCCGCCCGUGCUCUCGCCUCGUCUCGCCGCGCCCCGCAGCGCCGCCGCUGCGAGCUCGCCGCGGCCGGCCAUGGCGCCGCCGCCGGCGCCCCGCUGCUCGCCUGCCCCGCGCGCGGUCCACAUGGACCGCGGCUCAGCGCCCGCGGCCAGGUCCACCAUGGACCCGGCUCACCGCCCCGCGCCUCCCCCGGUCCACCAUGGACCGGUGGACCGCCCCCCUCCUCCCGGUCCACAGCGCCGCCAUGGACCGGGCCAUUCACGCGCUGCCACGUGGCCAGGCCGGCCACGGUCCCGCGCGCCCCCUGGCCUUUUUACGAAAAGGCCCUCGCGUUUCUUCAAAUUUAACCCGCGAUCCAACUCAGUUAUAGUUUCAUUUAAAAUAUGCCCCUGCUUUUACAGUUUAGCCCCUGCACCCGUUGGUAUUUAUGUAUUUAAUCCAAAAUGAGUUUUAAUUCAGUUUUAAUUGGUUUUAAUUACGAAAAAUAGUUCAGUUUAUCUACAGAAAUGCCAUUCAACUUGUUUUAGCCAUAACUUUUGCAUCGUAACUCCGAUUUAGGUGAUUCUGGUCGCUAUAGUUUCGUUUCAUCGAGUAGAAUACAGUAGUGCAGUUGCUUUAUGCUUUCGCAUGCUUUGGUGUACUGUUUCUGAUUAAGUUUGUUUCCUUGCAUGUAAUGUUCCUAUGAUUGAUGAUUGUCGCGUAUAGCCAACGAGACGUUCGUGAAGGAAGAGGUUCAGGAUCCCGCUGAGUUCGAGCAACCCGACUUCGAUCAAGGCAAGUGCAGACACCAUUCGAUCAUUUUGAACCUACUCAUUAAUGUCAUUUACUUUAUAUGCAUGUGUCCAAUGAAUGCAAACCCUAAGGACAUGACUAGCUUUACUUAUUAUUCCUUGCUCACCUGGGGUUAUGUAUUUGGGUAGACUAGGUUAUACUAGGUUUGCUUAGCUGCUCUACUCAUCUUAUACACAUGCCUAAACAAGUAUUAGUCUCUACUCAACUUGAUGCUUAAAUUGUGCUGAAUCUUUGGUCACUGCGGUGAUGGCGAUGUUGGAUGCUUAUGAGCAUCGUGAUGAUGGUGGUGACAGGGGGAGCGGGUGCCGUUGGUGGUCCGGUUUGCCGGGCGUACCCGUCUCUGCUCUCCGUAAGGACUUAGUCAGGGAGCGGCCCCCUGGGACUUACAGUGCAGCUCCAAGCUAUAUGGCUCUGGCUUGACUAAUUAGCAGGACCUCCACUAGUAGGGUGUUACUUUCCGGGUAGGCGUGAGGAAGUAACUUGGGUAAUGAAUAUUAAGUUGUCGGUUGAUCGGUACGCCAUGGCUAUGGGUAUCGACUGCCGAGCGCCCCGGCAAAAACUUGCGAGUGGCAUCCUAUUAGUUGGACCCUGUGAAAGGUCUCGUAGUGAGACCCUGCCUGCUCACCUUGGAAGUGUUUUGGGGAGUCGCGACCCCGGGCAAAUGGGAAUCACGACUUGGAGUGAACGUGCACACCUCUGCAGAGUGUAAAACUGAUAUAUCAGCCGUGCUCACGGUCACGAGCGGCCCAGACCCUCACUUGAUGAGCAAAUUGGAUUCACUGGUUACUUGGAGAUGGACCUUGGCGAGGUUGCUACCUCGUGAUUUUGGCGGAAUGGCUAUUCCGUGUUGGCAGGAUUGCUAUCCUGUGUUAAUAAUUGGGGUGAAUCCCUAGAUUACUAUAAUAAUUAGGAUAGUCUUCUAAAAGAUGUUAAUUACUACUUACACUAAAUAAGGGUUGGGUUUAUGCUACUCAUAAUUAGUAAUAGGUUGUUCUAAUAAUAGUCAUAACUAAAAGUGUUCAACUAAAAUGCUACCGCAGUCAAACCAAAUCAGCUUUACCUUGUUUUAAGCCUUGCAUGUCAUUACUUUUCGUCUGUGCUUGCUGAGUUCGACAUGAGCUCACCCUUGCUAUAAUCAUUAAAGGUUGCUCGGACGAUCAGGAGUACAAUUGCGAUUUUCCUGAGGACUACCCUGAGUCUCCGGGUUGUUAGGCUCGUGUGGUUCUACCGUCGACCUUCCUGUGGCAAGGUGGUCCUGCUACGUCGGCGUUUAGUUUUCCCUUUAUUUAUGGAACAGUUUAGUUUAUGUUUCCCCUCCGCACUUUGAUAAACAUUUGGCUUGUAAUAAUGGUACUUUUACUCUCAUUUAUGUAAUUCGUUUGAACACUGUGUUUUGUACCAUUGAUGAUGUCGGUCCAUGUGUGUGAAUUUGAGAUCCUGGCGCACAUGUGAUUUGGCACCCGAAUGCUCUUUUACAUCCGGGUGUGACAGAAGUGGUACCAAAGCCGUGUUGACCGUAGGAUCACGCAGCCUAGUUAGAAACAGCCGUUUAGAUUGUCCCUUUUGGGUGGAAUACACCAUUGGAUCUAUUAACUACCUUACUAACCUGUCUCAUUAGACUUUAUCUAUUAGCCUUAUCUACUUACUUUUACUAACAGUUCAGUUUAUUCACUUAUUUCUUGCAUUUAUUACCUUGUUAUCAUUUAUUGCUUUCUAUUUCUCAUAUUGCAUUUAUAUUCUUGUUUCAACUUUUACUACUUGUUAUUUGAACCUUUCUUUUAUACCUUGUCAUUUAUUAUCAUUCUACUCAUAUUACCUUCUUGUUCCUUGUUUUUCAUUUAUUACUUGAGUUAUGUUUUAUUUCUGCCUUGACAAUAAAUUCCAUUACCUUGUUUUCACUUUAUACCUUCAUUACUUGCUUUUAUAUCUUACCAUAAAUACCACCAAAGUUCAUAUUGUCCAUCCAUUGUAUAAUCUUGGUUCAUCUUCAUUACACAUACACUUUUACCUUCAUUUAUGUUAUUCAUUUACCUAUCAUUGUCAUGAUCUAUUAACCGUUUCCUGCAUGUCUAUGAUCUUAUGCAUAAGUAGAUGACUCGCCACCUGACCUGCCGCAAGAGCGUUAUCCGUUUCCGCCCCGUUCAAGCUGUGGAGUUCUCGUUGACUGGUCGCGUGGAUAACAUCGUGUUCCAGCCUAACCAGCAUCUUGAUGACGGUGCUAACCUCCAAGACGCGGAACCCUAUGAAGGACAGCAACCACCUCAAGCUCUGGUGGUGCAUGGAAGGGCGCCUUGCUGGGCACCUGGAGGAGAUGAUCCCUUCGGUGAUGAUGACAUGGAUGAUGAUGAUGAGGAUGAUGAUGAUGAGGAUGCACCUGGAGGACCUGAAGGACCCGGUGGACCUGGAGGACCUGGAGGUCAAGAUGGACUUUUUGCUGCUGAUGAUGGGUGGAUUGUGACAGUCUGCACCAGGGAUGGUGGAGAGUGUUUCUUCCACAGCGAGCUGAAGCGUCUCCUUGACCAGCAGCUGGGACAUGGCAUGUUCUCAGUGGAGUACCGCAGUGAGCACUGGAGUCACCCAGACUACCUGGCGUACUGGAAGGUCUGGGCACACGUCGGCAGGCCUAACCCGACGUUGAGGGCACUGAGGAUCAUGUCCAUACAUGAAGCUGUGGCUGAGAGGUCUACCCAGAUGGCGGGCAUUAAUGAUGCUGCUCGCCAGGCUUUCUACGCAUACCGUGAUCACUUCUUCGAGGAGAUCAGCCAGGAUGAGCGUCGCUACUACCCUCGCCGUCGCCGUGGAGAGUUGGCGAUGACUAUUGCUUCCACCACUGAUGAGCAAGACCCCCGCGUGCACAGGACUGUCAAGCUGGUGGCGGUCACUAACACCGAGCUCAACAGUUCACUAGUGGAGCUGAAGCAAGUCAGGAAGGAGCUGAACGACGCCAGGAAGAGGAUAGCGCAGCUGGAGGCUCAGAUCACUGGAGUGCCACCGCCUUCACCUAAGUGGCCUGCUUUCUCUCCGCCUCGUGAAGAUCCAGCCUAUGGGGAUGCCAGCGCUCGUACUACUAUAGAAUAGGAGCUAUUCCCAGCUUAGUAAUAAAUAGUGCCACGCUUAGAACGUUAGCACGAUCUUAGUUAUGCGAGUCUAUUGCUUAGUGGUUUGCUUAGUGUGCUUUGCUUGGUCUGUGUGAGAACUUGAUUUAUUAUUGUGUUAAUGGUGUGAUUUGGUUCUUUGUAAUGAGUGCGAUGAGUUGUGGGUUAUGUCCACAACGCAUCAAGAACAAGAUUAAGUAUUAAGUUUAUUUGAGAUAGUUAGUUUGGGUUAUCAUCGGUCUCCUUUAUUUGUGCUUUAUCAUAUUUCAUAAUCGCUUUAUCUUAUCAGUCUUACUUUAUCAUGAUCAGUUCAGUAUCUAUAUAUUACAUCUGUUGUGAGUACUAUGUUUAUCAACUGAGAAAGGAAAGUGACUAUCAGCUGGUUCAUACUGUGAGGAAAGAUUUUCACAUUGCAGUUUACAUUACAGCUCAGGUUUACACAUAUGAACUGCAUCUGAUUUUAUUAUAUUAUUUCUAUACAUCAGAUGCCUGUCCACACCAGGAGCAACACCAAUGGAGGAAACAAUGGGCAGUCCAACAACAACAACAAUGAUCAGAGCGGGACUAAUGCCAACCCUCCUCCUCCUGGGAAUCAGCCCAUGACCAUAGAGCAGUUGAUGACUAUGCAGACUCAACUGAUGCAAGGGAUGGCUCAUAUUAUGAACCACAUGCAGCAGAACCAAAACCAGAAUCAGAACCAACAUCAAGGAGGUAACAACGCGUUUGCCCCACCUAGGGACAAGCGUGGAGAGUUCAUGAAGGGACGUCCACCGUUCUUCUCCCACUCAGCUGAUCCUAUGCAAGCUGAGGAUUGGCUUAAGGCAGUGGAGAAGCAGCUGGUCAUUGCUCAGUGCAAUGACAGGGAGAAGGUUCUGUAUGGCUCUGGGCAGCUUCAGGGAGCCGCACAGGACUGGUGGGAUUCAUAUUGCUUUGCACAUCAGGACCCGGAUACUAUCACUUGGGAUGAGUUCAAGGUCGCCUUCAAGACUCAUCAUGUGCCUGCUGGAUUGGUGAAGCUGAAGAAGAAGGAGUUUCUGUCUCUGAAGCAGGGCUCCAUGACAGUUUGUGAGUACCGUGACAAGUUCACUUAGUUGUCGCGGUAUUGCCCCAAUGAAGUGGAGAAUGAUGAAGACAAGCAAGACCACUUUCUGGAAGGUUUGAAUGAUGGUCUGUCCUACAUGAUGUCGAAUGUCAAGUAUGCCAGUUUCCAGGAGAUGGUGGACAGGGCAUUGGUGCUUGAGAGCAAGCGCCGUAAGAUGGAGGACAAGAAGAGGAAGUAUAACUCCUCUCAGCAGCAGGCUGGUGCCAGUCGUCCCCGUUACAACAAUCAGCAGGGCCCUCAGUCUCGCCCUGCAUAUCAGUCUGGUAACCAAGGACAGCAACAGAAUGUCAGGUACAGCAACCAGAGUCAGCAGACGAGCCAGCGCUACAACAACAACCAAGUGCAGCGCCCCGCUAGUCAGGCGCCUCGCCAGAAUGCCCCAGCACCAUCAGGCUCUCGCCAGAACUCCAACACUGUCCCAAUGAAGCCCAAUGUCAACCCCGCCCCCACUGGAAAUACCUGCUUCAAGUGUGGUCAGCUUGGACACUACGCGAAUGCGUGCCCCCAGAGGCAGAAGAAUAACAACAACAAUGGAAGAGUGAAUCAUGUGAAGCUGGAAACUGCUGAGGAGUCUCCAGAUGUGGUAGUUGGUAUGUUUCUUGUCAACUCUUGCCCAGCUACUGUUUUGUUUGAUACUGGAGCAUCACAUACUUUUAUAAGUGCACAGUUUGUUGAGAAACAUAGUAUAGCCACCUGUACCAUGCAAAACACCAUGCUAGUUAAAUCACCUGGGGGAAAGAUGCAUACUAAUACUUUGUGUCCGGGAAUGAGCAUUAAAAUAAGGGGGGUAGAUUUUCCUGUCAAUCCUAUUGUGUUGGGUUCAGAAGGUUUAGAUAUGAUAUUGGGAAUGAGAUGGUUGUCCAAGUUUAAGGGUACUAUUCAGUGUGCUGAGAAGACAGUGGCUCUAACAGCACCUAGUGGGAACAAAAUUGAGGUCAGAGUUUCUAUGUCACCUAGCAGUGAAGGAACAGUUUACCAUGUGAGCAGUGGGUCAGUAGAAGACAUUCGAGUUGUGAAAGAGUUCCCUGAUGUGUUCCCAGAGGAUUUGCCAGGUAUGCCACCUGAACGUGAGAUUGAAUUUGUUAUUGAUUUAUUACCUGGUACUGCACCCAUAUCUAAGAGACCUUAUAGAAUGGCUGUUAAUGAGUUAGAAGAACUUAAGAAACAACUAAGGGAGUUACAGUCUAAGGGGUAUAUCCGUCCUAGUUCCUCACCUUGGGGAGCUCCAGUUAUUUUUGUAGAGAAGAAGGAUGGGACACAGAGGAUGUGUGUAGACUAUAGAUCUUUGAAUGAGGUCACAAUUAAGAAUAAAUACCCUUUGCCUAGAAUAGAGGACUUGUUUGACCAGUUGAAAGGAGCUUGUGUGUUUUCCAAGAUAGAUCUGAGGUCAGGAUAUCACCAGUUGAGGAUUAAACCCAGUGAUAUUCCAAAGACUGCUUUCACCACCAGAUAUGGACUUUAUGAAUAUACAGUUAUGUCUUUUGGAUUGACUAAUGCCCCAGCUUAUUUUAUGUAUCUGAUGAAUAAAGUUUUUAUGGAGUAUUUGGAUAAGUUUGUGGUAGUCUUUAUUGAUGAUAUCUUGAUCUACUCCAAGAAUGAGGAAGAACAUGAGGAACACCUAAGACUUGUGUUGCAGAAAUUGAGGGAACAUCAGCUCUAUGCCAAGUUGAGUAAAUGUGACUUCUGGUUGAAGGAAGUGUCUUUUCUUGGUCAUGUCAUUUCAAAUGGUGGAGUUGCUGUUAGUCCGAAGAAUGUGGCAGAUGUUCUUAAGUGGAGUCCACCUCAGACUGUUGGGGAGAUCAGAAGUUUUCUUGGAAUGGCCGGUUACUAUCGGAGAUUCAUUGAGGGAUUUUCCAGUAUUGCCAAGCCCAUGACUGCUUUGUUAGAGAAGGGUAAGCCAUUCAAGUGGAAUGAACAGUGUCAGGCUAGUUUUGAGGAAUUGAAGAAGAGGUUGACUACUGCACCAAUUUUGACUUUGCCAGAUGUGACUAAAAGCUUUUCUAUCUAUUGUGAUGCUUCCAAGCAAGGUUUGGGAUGUGUACUGAUGCAAGAGGGAAAGGUGAUUGCCUAUGCAUCUAGACAGUUGAAGAAACACGAGGUGAAUUAUCCAACUCAUGAUCUUGAGUUAGCAGCUGUGGUCCAUUCACUGAAGAUCUAGAGACACUAUAUUCUGGGUCAUAAGUGUGAUAUCUACACGGAUCACAAGAGUCUGAAAUACAUCUUCACUCAGAAUGACUUAAACCUGAGACAGAGAAGAUGGUUAGAGUUGAUCAAGGACUAUGAACUGGAGAUUCAUUACCACCCUGGCAAAGCUAAUGUAGUUGCUGACGCUCUGAGUAGAAAGAGUCAAGUGAAUAUGAUGGAAGCCACAGAGUUACCGAUGGAACUACUGGCAUAAUUUGAGUAUCUCAAUUUGGGGUUUGUUGCUAAUACCCAAGGUACUUCCAUGGACAGAACCAACUCUUGAGCAAGAGAUCAGAAAAGGUCAGAAAGAGGAUGAAGAGAUCAAAAAGAUACUUAAGCUGAUAGAGGAAGGUAGAGCACCUGGAUUCAAAGUUGAUCAAGAAGGGAUUGUUUGGCACAAGGACCGAUUGUGUGUCCCUGAUAUUCAGAGAAUUAAGGAUGUGAUACUGAAGGAGUGCCAUGAAUCUGCUUACUCUAUUCAUCCAGGAGGUACUAAGAUGUAUCAGGACUUGAAGCAAAACUAUUGGUGGCCUGGUAUGAAGAAAGAUAUUGGUGAAUAUGUGGCAUUGUGUGACACCUGUCAGAGAGUGAAAGCGGAACAUCAGAGGCCAGCAGGGUUGUUGCAACCGUUGAAGAUACCUGAGUGGAAGUGGGAUGAGAUCAGCAUGGACUUCAUAGUGGGAUUGCCGAAAACUCAACGAGGUUAUGACUCAAUAUGGGUUGUAGUAGAUCGAUUGACCAAGGUAGCUCAUUUCAUACCGGUCAGAACUAACUACCGUGGAGAUCAGUUAGCAGAAAAGUAUAUGGAACGGAUUAUGUGUUUGCAUGGAGUUCCUAAGAGGAUUGUGUCUGAUAGAGGUACACAGUUUACAUCAAAGUUUUAGGAGAAGCUACAUGAUGCUUUGGGAACCGAGCUCAGAUUCAGUACUGCUUAUCACCCUCAGUCCGAUGGUCAGACAGAGAGAGUCAACCAGAUAGUAGAGGAUAUGCUCAGGUCUUGUGCUUUACAGUAUGGGGAUAGUUGGGAUGCUAGUUUGCCCUACGCUGAGUUCUCCUAUAACAACAGUUAUCAGACUAGUCUUAAGAUGACUCCUUUUGAAGCCUUGUAUGGAAGGAAGUGUAGGACUCCAUUGUUCUGGAACCAGACUGGUGAAAGGCAAGUGUUCGGCCCUGAUUCAUUGAGAAUAGCCGAAGAAAGAGUUCAGUUCAUCCGACAGACUCUGAAGGCAGCUCAGUCUAGACAUAAGAGUUAUGCUGAUGUGAGACGAAGGGAACUUGUAUUUCAGGCAGGUGAUUAUGUAUACCUGAAAGUGUCUCCGAUGAGGGGUCUAAAGAGGUUCAAUGUCAAGGGAAAGCUAGCUCCAAGAUAUGUUGGUCCUUUCAAGAUUUUGGAGAGGAAAGGAGAAGUGGCUUAUGAGCUUGAACUGCCUGUUAGUUUAUCCAACGUGCACAAUGUUUUCCAUGUCUCCCAAUUCAAGAAAUGUUUGAGAGUGCCUGAGGAACAGUUGCCACUAGAGGAACUGGAUUUACAGGAUGAUCUAACUUAUGAAGAGAGUCCUAUCAAAGUCCUGGACACAGCAGAGAGAAUUACCAGGAGUAAAACUAAAACUAUCAGGAUGUGUAAAGUACAAUGGAAACACCAUUCCGAGGAAGAAGCAACCUGGGAAAGAGAAGAUGAUCUAAUAUCCAAAUACCCUCAGUUAUUCCCUGGUUCAUCCUAAUCUCGAGGACGAGAUUCUUUUAAGGGGGGUAGGUUUAUAACACUCCAAAUUUUUGAAUUUCAAAUUUAGUUUAAAUUUGAUUUAAUUUUGGCUUAGUUUGAAUUUUUGGAGAAUUAUUAAAUAAUUUACAAAAUUAAUUAAAAUAAAUAUAAGGUAGAAAACGUGUGUUGUUGGCGGCGUGCGUCUCUGGCCGGUGCGCGACACUGUCGGCGUGUGUUGUAAGAGGGGUUUUUAUGCUGCUGUGUUUAGAAGAAAAUGAGGCCAGGGGUAGCAUCGUCAUUUUUCCUGCCCAUGCUGAGUCAGCACCACCAUGUCAGUCGGUCUGGGCUGCCACAUGUGCAAAUGUGGUCUAAAUGUAAGAGUUAUCGCUUAAAGAUGGUAAAUAUGUAUGGCAUAUUAUAAGAGUGAUAAUCGGGUGAGAGGCAACCGUUAUGAUGGUAAAUAUGUAAAAGACUCUGGUGUGGGGGAGGGAGGGCGUCGGGGAGAUGGGGUGUGGCCUCAGGGAGAUGGAGAGUCGGCGUCUGGGAGAGGGAGAGUUGUGCCUCGCACGUUGGGGUGUGAGCGGGGUCCGGCAGUAUAACACUCCAAAUUUUUGAAUUUCAAAUUUAGUUUAAAUUUGAUUUAAUUUUGGCUUAGUUUGAAUUUUUGGAGAAUUAUUAAAUAAUUUACAAAAUUAAUUAAAAUAAAUAUAAGGUAGAAAACGUGUUUGAUUUUUGCAUUCAUGCUGCUGCAUAAUUUUUCUUGAUUUUAUUUAUUUUGCUGAUGCUUGUUUUGUUUUGUUUUGGAGCAAGAAAAUUAAAAAAAAAGGAAAAGGGGAGAGCUCUCACCUGGGCCGAUUCUCGGCCCAGCCCCCGCGCGCGCCCCCCCCUUCUCCCCGCACGGCCCAGCAGCGGCCCAGCCGCAGAGCCCGCGGCGCCCCCUGCCCCUGCCCCCGCCUGCAGCCGCUGACGCGUGGGCCCCGCAGGUGGGACCCACCGUCGUCCCCAACCUCCCGUCCGAAACGGACGGGGAGUCCGCGCCGCCACCCGGCUUCCGAGCCGCACGCGCCCCAAGGAUCGCCGUGCCUUUAAAUAGCCCCCCAGCCGCCGCUCGCGAACCCCCUAGAACCCUAGCUUCGAAAUCCGCGCCGCCGCCGUUCUCGCCAAGCUCGCGCCGCCGCCGUCGAAACCGCCGCCGUCGAGCUUCUCUUUGACUUCGUCGUUUCGCGGAGGUGAGCUCGCCAUCGCGCUCGUCGUGUCGCGCCGACCCCGCCCGUGCUCUCGGCUCGUCUCGCCGCGCCCCGCAGCGCCGCCGCUGCGAGCUCGCCGCGGCCGGCCAUGGCGCCGCCGCCGGCGCCCCGCUGCUCGCCUGCCCCGCGCGCGGUCCACAUGGACCGCGGCUCAGCGCCCGCGGCCAGGUCCACCAUGGACCCGGCUCACCGCCCCGCGCCUCCCCCGGUCCACCAUGGACCGGUGGACCGCCCCCCUCCUCCCGGUCCACAGCGCCGCCAUGGACCGGGCCAUUCACGCGCUGCCACGUGGCCAGGCCGGCCACGGUCCCGCGCGCCCCCUGGCCUUUUUACGAAAAGGCCCUCGCGUUUCUUCAAAUUUAACCCGCGAUCCAACUCAGUUAUAGUUUCAUUUAAAAUAUGCCCCUGCUUUUACAGUUUAGCCCCUGCACCCGUUGGUAUUUAUGUAUUUAAUCCAAAAUGAGUUUUAAUUCAGUUUUAAUUGGUUUUAAUUACGAAAAAUAGUUCAGUUUAUCUACAGAAAUGCCAUUCAACUUGUUUUAGCCAUAACUUUUGCAUCGUAACUCCGAUUUAGGUGAUUCUGGUCGCUAUAGUUUCGUUUCAUCAAGUAGAAUACAGUAGUGCAGUUGCUUUAUGCUUUCGCAUGCUUUGGUGUACUGUUUCUGAUUAAGUUUGUUUCCUUGCAUGUAAUGUUCCUAUGAUUGAUGAUUGUCGCGUAUAGCCAACGAGACGUUCGUGAAGGAAGAGGUUCAGGAUCCCGCUGAGUUCGAGCAAACCGACUUCGAUCAAGGCAAGUGCAGACACCAUUCGAUCAUUUUGAACCUACUCAUUAAUGUCAUUUACUUUAUAUGCAUGUGUCCAAUGAAUGCAAACCCUAAGGACAUGACUAGCUUUACUUAUUAUUCCUUGCUCACCUGGGGUUAUGUAUUUGGGUAGACUAGGUUAUACUAGGUUUGCUUAGCUGCUCUACUCAUCUUAUACACAUGCCUAAACAAGUAUUAGUCUCUACUCAACUUGAUGCUUAAAUUGUGCUGAAUCUUUGGUCACUGCGGUGAUGGCGAUGUUGGAUGCUUAUGAGCAUCGUGAUGAUGGUGGUGACAGGGGGAGCGGGUGCCGUUGGUGGUCCGGUUUGCCGGGCGUACCCGUCUCUGCUCUCCGUAAGGACUUAGUCAGGGAGCGGCCCCCUGGGACUUACAGUGCAGCUCCAAGCUAUAUGGCUCUGGCUUGACUAAUUAGCAGGACCUCCACUAGUAGGGUGUUACUUUCCGGGUAGGCGUGAGGAAGUAACUUGGGUAAUGAAUAUUAAGUUGUCGGUUGAUCGGUACGCCAUGGCUAUGGGUAUCGACUGCCGAGCGCCCCGGCAAAAACUUGCGAGUGGCAUCCUAUUAGUUGGACCCUGUGAAAGGUCUCGUAGUGAGACCCUGCCUGCUCACCUUGGAAGUGUUUUGGGGAGUCGCGACCCCGGGCAAAUGGGAAUCACGACUUGGAGUGAACGUGCACACCUCUGCAGAGUGUAAAACUGAUAUAUCAGCCGUGCUCACGGUCACGAGCGGCCCAGACGCUCACUUGAUGAGCAAAUUGGAUUCACUGGUUACUUGGAGAUGGACCUUGGCGAGGUUGCUACCUCGUGAUUUUGGCGGAAUGGCUAUUCCGUGUUGGCAGGAUUGCUAUCCUGUGUUAAUAAUUGGGGUGAAUCCCUGGAUUACUAUAAUAAUUAGGAUAGUCUUCUAAAAGAUGUUAAUUACUACUUACACUAAAUAAGGGUUGGGUUUAUGCUACUCAUAAUUAGUAAUAGGUUGUUCUAAUAAUAGUCAUAACUAAAAGUGUUCAACUAAAAUGCUACCGCAGUCAAACCAAAUCAGCUUUACCUUGUUUUAAGCCUUGCAUGUCAUUACUUUCCGUCUGUGCUUGCUGAGUUCGACAUGAGCUCACCCUUGCUAUAAUCAUUAAAGGUUGCUCGGACGAUCAGGAGUACAAUUGCGAUUUUCCUGAGGACUACCCUGAGUCUCCGGGUUGUUAGGCUCGUGUGGUUCUACCGUCGACCUUCCUGUGGCAAGGUGGUCCUGCUACGUCGGCGUUUAGUUUUCCCUUUAUUUAUGGAACAGUUUAGUUUAUGUUUCCCCUCCGCACUUUGAUAAACAUUUGGCUUGUAAUAAUGGUACUUUUACUCUUAUUUAUGUAAUUCGUUUGAACACUGUGUUUUGUACCA